ACGGGUGAGUAACGCGUGGGAAUCUACCGUACCCUACGGAAUAGCUCCGGGAAACUGGAAUUAAUACCGUAUACGCCCUACGGGGGAAAGAUUUAUCGGGGUAUGAUGAGCCCGCGUUGGAUUAGCUAGUUGGUGGGGUAAAGGCCUACCAAGGCGACGAUCCAUAGCUGGUCUGAGAGGAUGAUCAGCCACAUUGGGACUGAGACACGGCCCAAACUCCUACGGGAGGCAGCAGUGGGGAAUAUUGGACAAUGGGCGCAAGCCUGAUCCAGCCAUGCCGCGUGAGUGAUGAAGGUCUUAGGAUUGUAAAGCUCUUUCACCGAUGAAGAUAAUGACGGUAGUCGGAGAAGAAGCCCCGGCUAACUUCGUGCCAGCAGCCGCGGUAAUACGAAGGGGGCUAGCGUUGUUCGGAAUUACUGGGCGUAAAGCGCACGUAGGCGGAUAUUUAAGUCAGGGGUGAAAUCCCAGAGCUCAACUCUGGAACUGCCUUUGAUACUGGGUAUCUUGAGUAUGGAAGAGGUAAGUGGAAUUCCGAGUGUAGAGGUGAAAUUCGUAGA
rnacentral:rRNA from 1 species